AAAUACAAAAAGGAGAACUCUUUUUCUUUUUUCACGCUCCACACUCAGAAACAGCUCAUACAAUCAGAAAAUUCUCUCAAAAUCGAUCUGAGCUCAUCUCAGAAAACUCAAAGAUUAGAGCUCAUCUCAUCUCCGAUGGGCUGAUUUGCGGUGGUCAGCUAUCUCAUCUCCGACGACAAGCGAGCCGUUGAUAGCUGUCUCUCUCUGUUUGUUUCCCGAGAAAUUAUGGAAAUUACACUUAUAUCCGAUUCUACUAGGAAAAGAAUGAUGGCAAAUUAAUAGCUGUUCUAACAUCAUCUUUCUUUCUUCACAUUUUUAAGGUUCAGUUUACAGAGAAAAGAAUAAGGAUUGGAUGGAAGCAACCUUCUAGUUUAUUUCUUGCUUCUAUAUCUAUUCUUCUCAGUGAGCAGGUGCCUUUUGCAGAGAAGGACUUGGCAGUAGUCAAUAUUUCUAGGAGAAUUGAACUGGGCAACCGUGCCAUAGGAUUCAACUCAUUUUACAGUUUUGGCUGUUAAGAUAACAGAGUGGGGCUAGGACAAAGAUGAUAGAGGGAGAGCAUUGGUAAUUUGGGGAGAAGAUUUUGAGAGAUACUUGGAGGUGCUGGGGAAGCUGUUUCUGAUCUGAAGCAGCUGUUCUCCCUUGCUGAAAAGUUUGGUUAUGCUGAAUGGAUUGAAUUUGAUGCAUCUAUUUUCUGUGGGCUUGCAUACUACACUGGUAUUGUGUUCGAGACUGAUCAAGUUGAUGUCCGAAUAAAAGCUGUUAAUUUAGUUGGGAAACUUUUUGCGCUGCCCAAACAGCAAGUGGCACAACAUUACCAUGAUCUUUUCUUAGAGUUCUUGAAAAGAUUCUCUAAUAAAUCUGUGGAAGUUAGAGUGAGCGCUCUACAAUGUGUUAAAGCUUUCUACAUGGCCAGUCCUUCUGGAACAGAAUCUCAUGAAGUUAUCAGUAAGUUAUGAGCAAUCAAACUUGUACUGUUAUGAUGGAAAAUCUCUUGAUUCUGUUGUCUUUUGAAUCUACUUAACACAACUCAUUUGUUUAAUGCUUACUAAUUAAGCAGCUGCCCUUGAAGAUCGAUUGUUAGAUUUUGAAUAAAUAUUUUGCUACAAAGCAUA